rnacentral:tRNA from 1 species
CCUUUCGUGGUGUAGUGGUCAGCACGCUCGACGCGUAUUCCAGAGGUCCGCGGUUCGAGUCCCGCGAAGGGU